GCCUGGGUGGUGGAAUUGGCAGACACAAGGGACUUAAAAUCCCUUGGGGCUUAGCUCCGUGCGGGUUCGAGUCCCGCCCUAGGCA
rnacentral:tRNA from 1 species